GUGAAUUUUUUGACAUUAUUUAUUCAUGCAGAGUUGCUUCGUUAAAAUUUUUACAGAAAUUUUCCAGUACACCAAACAUUUUCCAUUAUAAUCCCCCAACCUAACAACCCUAAAAUCUCGCCCAUAUUCACGCAUAACCCUCCACGCUACUUUACCUUCACUCUCUCACACAAGCACAAUGCAGUCAGAUUGGGCUCACAAUCCGGCAAGUCAAUUGCUGCACGCGUUGCCCCAGUAAUCUGCAUACAAUCCUGUAGGGCGAUCGUCGUUCUCGGACCGCCACUGCGUGAAGCAUAACCGUCGAUCCCCUUCUCCAGGAGCCUUACGUGACGGUGGUAUCUUCAUUACGCAGCAAUGCUGCGCCGAUCACCUUCUCCAGGAUACCACCUAUAAGAUCUACAUUUUUGGGAGUUUUAAAUUCAAUACAACAACCAUAGAAAUUCAGUUUUGCAAAAACAAGAUUUUCUCAUUUCUCUCUCUUUUUCUGAUUUUAUAGUGCCCGAGUUGGGCGUUGAUUUGUGGUGUAUUGAAAGUGCAGAUGGCGGUGGCAAGUUUGGUGAUUUUGUUGGUGGGGUGGUAGUUGUAGUAUGGUAGUGUUGGAAGAGAUUGUGGAUUUUAGCAAGCAGCCAUGGACCGAUGUUUGAUUGGAGGUGGAGGUGGUCUGGUGGAUUGUGCUCAUCGAGUUAAUUAAAUCAUUAUCUACCCUUUUUUACAUUAUCACUUGCUUACUAAACUAAAAAAGUUAUCAACUGGUCUCAUUUAUUCAAAUGUUUACUCAUUCAUCAUUCCGUUUAAAUUCUUUGUCAAAAUUAAUAGAAACUUCACGUGUGCAAACGGAAAGCUGACUUGACACAUUUAUGCUAUUAAU
rnacentral:lncRNA from 1 species